rnacentral:rRNA from 1 species
GAUGAACGCUGGCGGCGUGCCUAAUACAUGCAAGUCGAGCGAACAGACGAGGAGCUUGCUCCUCUGACGUUAGCGGCGGACGUGUGAGUAACACGUGGAUAACCUACCUAUAAGACUGGGAUAACUUCGGGAAACCGGCGCUAAUAGCGUAUAAUAUAUUGAACCGCAUGGUUCAAUAGUGAGAGACGGUGUUUGUGUCACUUAUAGAUGGAUCCGCGCCGCAUUAGCUAGUUGGUAAGGUAACGGCUUACCAAGGCGACGAUGCGUAGACGACCUGAGAGGGUGGUCGGCCACACUGGAACUGAGACACGGUCCAGACUCCUACGGGACGCAGCAGUAGGGAAUCUUCCGCAGUGGGCGAAAGCCUGGCGGAGCAACGCCGCGUGAGUGAUGAAGGUCUUCGGAUCGUAAAAAUCUGUUAUUAGGGAAGAACAAAUGUGUAAGUAACUAUGCACGUCUUGACGGUACCUAAUCAGAAAGCAACGGCUAACUACGUG